AGUUUUUUUAAAAAAAGUCGGAGUGUGUUUAAUUCGAAAAUUUCUUCUUCCAAAUUAACUUCCCCAAAAAACCGUCGCUUUCUUUUCCCCUUCGUCGGUCGCUGCUUUCUUUUCCCCUUCACCGAUCUCUGUUGCUUUCUUUUCCCCUUCCCCAAAAACCCGCUUCUCUUUUUCCUGCGUCCGAUCUCCGUAGAAGCCGCUGAUUUCGUUUCCCCCUUCACCAAUCUUCAGGAAGGAUCAUCUAGUCGGCAUCCUCAAGCGAAUAACGGACGCAUCCCCUUCGCCGAUCUUUAGGAAGCCCAAUUUUCAAGCCAAGGAGGAAUGAUCAUCUAGUCGGCAUACUCAGGAAGAAUUUAAAGUUCAUCAUCCGACUCCUAGCAGUAAGUCAUUUUGGAUUUGUAUUGAAAAUAGCAAAAUUUUUAGAAGAUUGAACGACUCUCCAGCUAGAUGAUCCGAGUCUUUCAGAAGAUUAAGAACAACAGGAAGAUGACAGAGGAAUCCAUGUUUUUAUAUUAUUGGGGACGUAAAAUUAUUUUUAAGGCAGAUGCUGCUAGGAGUUUUGCUUAAUUAGCAGAAAUUGGCUGUACAAAAUUUCUGAAGUAUUGGUUUUUUUAUUUAUUCUCUUGGGAUAAACAAACAGGGACAGAGUAUUUGUAUAUUUGUAUCCAAUUUAAAAGUUUAUCCCCUCAUGGAGUUCUCUUGGGACAAAACAAGUAUGCAUCUUACGUGAUUUUCUCAUAUAUUAAUUGGAUGCAUGAAUAAAGAGGCAUCAUCUUGUUUUGCAUUGUAA